GAGAUAUUGCAGAUCGGGUUGGGAAAGGUCAAAAUAAUUAGUCAUAGGAGAUGAUACGAGGAAGAGAAGGAGGAGGAGGUGGGGGGAGUGGUGCAACAGAAACACUUCUAGUGUUGGAGCACAGGAAGCCAGCUCUGAAACAUUUGGACUUUCGUUGUCUGACAUUGCCUUUGCCACUCCUUCUUCCUUCCUCCCACCUUUGCCUUCCCCACCACCUCCUCGAAAUUCCCCUGCCUUCAUCUCUGGCCCUGCUGACGACUUCGCCAUGUGAGUUGUCAGUUUUUGCUACCAGUGAUUUCUUUUCUUCAAGCAAAAGAGAGAAGAGUUUAUUUUAUUCUCAGCAGCAUCCCUGGCCAGACUCGGCAAAGCUGCCAAGUAAGAUGUGCCUUUCACCUUCUGCCGUGAUUGUGAGGCUUCCCCAGCCAUGUGGAACUGGGCUGGCGGAGAGGGGUAGGAGAUGA
rnacentral:lncRNA from 13 species